UGUUCCUACUGUAAUACAGGAGGCUGUAGAAUAGAAGAUGGCGUAUGUCAUAAUGGUUGUCAAGUUGGUGUCAACAAUACGAAAUGCUGAAAUAGUACAAAUAAGGAUCAUGAAAUUAAUAGAGACAAGUGAUCCUAAAGAACGAGGGAGGUGAACAGAAUAGCAACAAUCGUUCUAGAUGAAAACUGUUUUUAUUGUGAAAAUACAUGUUUCUGUAUAACAAUUAAAGUAGAAUAUAUGAUAGAUGAUGAA